UACGGGGGGGGCAAGCGUUGUUCGGAAUUACUGGGCGUAAAGGGCGCGUAGGCGGUUGGAUAAGUCAGCUGUGAAAACCACGGGCUUAACUCGUGGCCUGCAGUUGAGACUGUCUGGCUUGAGUGUGGGAGAGGAGAGUGGAAUUCCUGGUGUAGCGGUGAAAUGCGUAGAUAUCUGGAGGAACACCGGUGGCGAAGGCGGCAUCCUGGACCAAUAUUGACGCUGAGGAGCGAAAGCCAGGGGAGCAAACGGG
rnacentral:rRNA from 1 species